CUUUAAACUUUAAUUGCACAUCAAACACAAUAAUACUGUUUCUAAAUUACAAAUAAAUGUACUAGCUUAUCUAUUACAAAAACAUUUAAAAACUAUAACGGUAUUUAAUAAAUCAGCUGAGUUAGUCGUUCAUUGCACAGAAUAAAGAACUAUCAAAUUAAUUU